rnacentral:rRNA from 1 species
GAUGAUGCUAUGAGCCUCGAUUGGCACGAGACUGAACAGACUCUUGUUUGAAAAGUUGUCAAACUUGGUCAUUUAGAGGAAGUAAAAGUCGUAACAAGUUUCGUAGGUGAACCUGCGGAAGGAUCAUUA